rnacentral:lncRNA from 1 species
CAGAGCCCGUGCAUAAGCCAUUUGGCUUUGCAAUUAAAAACAGGUUUGGCUUCCCUCUGCAUCAGUAAGACAACGUCAAAGCAACAUUCAUCCUGAAAAUUUUCCCUUGUGAAUUGGAAUGAACUGUUAAUCAGCUAAAGCUUGUGGCGUUUGGAAUCCUAAAUCAGCAAUCCAGAUGGAGAAACUGAGACACAGAAAGCUGAAUUUCUUUAUUCAUGAUCGUGAAGAUAUGAAUUGGACAAGCUGGAUUUGAACCCAGAAUCCACGCAUUUAACCACAAUGCCUCUGGAUACAUUUCCUUCUUUCUUUAAAAACCAAGGAGAGGGUUGACCAACAAUCUCAAAAAUUCAGUCAUCUUGAAGGUUAGUAAUUGAGUCAGAAGCUAGAAGCUGUAAACCUAAGUCUCCCAGUUCCUUUCUAGUGUAAUUCCCCUAAGAAACAAAACAAAGAUAAACAAGACGCAGAACAAAGCAUUGGAUCAAUGUAGAUAGUGGGUCUUGAACAAGAAACUAGAAUGUUUCACUGCUGCUUUGUGAUAAUGACAAGCUCAGUUGCAGUGACUAAUUAGUGGGUAAUGACCUGUUUCGAAAUAGUCAUGUCAGGUCCCUACCCUGCUUAAGAGCCAGAUCCAUUAUACUCUAGAAAGAUCCUGUCUUAGGAGCUCUAAGGAGAAAAUCAUCUUUCUGCUAACACUUCGGUUCACAUUCUCUUCAUGUUAUGCUAGCGUCUCAACUGGAGGUGGCCCUUGACAACACUCUAAGGUAGGUAAAGCUGGGUUUUGGUGCCAUAUCCCUUUCUUCCUGGUGUCCCUUCCUCUUACUCACCAACCCCCUCACGUACCUCCUCUGUUGGUGAACUAAUGAAUCCCGGAAGGUAAGCAGUCAAUAGACUUGAUAUGGGCUAGCUGGCAAUAGAGCCCCUAAAAGUCACCUCACAGAAACAGUUGCCCACCCCUCUCACCCGUAAGGCAGCCUGUUUCUGUCAGUAUUAUUUGUAGACCCAAGUCAAGCCUUCUAAGCCUUCUAGACUUUUGGAGUCAUUAGCACACUUACCAAGUCAUGCUUCAGCCUCCAAAACCACAGGGUUAUUCCCACACUCACACUAGUGGCUACACUGGCCAUGGAGCUCAAGGCCAAGGGCAGCAAGGAUAGAGCCAGCCAUAACUGAAGAGAUGGGAGGUGUGGCUCUGUUAUCUGUUCCUCACCAGCUCGUGACCUGAAGCAACAGAUGCCAAGGAAGCUAUUCCUGCUCUGAUAAGGGAAGAGGUAAUAUAGGUCAAGGAGAUGUGGCAAGAAGACACUCGUCUUCUUUGAUGGAAUAAAUAAGUGUUGGGGCUACUAGGCAUUAGAAGGCGAUUAAUAUCUGUCCCGGGAAAACUUACUAGCAUGAUAAGGACAAUAGCAGUUUGAGUCCUGACUACGUGCCAUGCAUUCUUCUAAACUCCUUCAUGGAGCAUCUCAUUUAAUAUCCUUACAACAAUCCUUUGAGGUUGGUAUGACUUUCCCCAUUUUACAGAUGCAGAAACUGAGGUGGAGAAAGGUUAAACCAAUCUUUCCCCAGCUUACACAGCGAGGGAGGGGGACAGGAUACAAAGCCUGCAAUCUGAAGUCAAAACUCUUGUUCUAAGCUCCUCUACAGGAAUAAUAAAAAGCAGAGGUGGGCAAGCUUUCUCUGUGAAGAGCCAGAUAGGAAAUGUUUUAGGCUUUGCAGGCAGUACAGUUUCUGUCACAACCACUUAACCCUGCCAUUCUAAACCGAAAGCAGCUAGCAAGGAUGCUUAAAUUAAUAGGCUGUGCUGUCUUCCAAUAAAACUUUACUUAUGGAUGCUGAAACUUGAAUUUCAUACUAUUUUCAUGUGUCAUGAAAUCUUCUCUUGAUUUUUUUCCCAACCAUUUAAAAAAAUGGACAAACUAUUCUUGGCUCACAGGCCAUAUGAAAUCAGGCAGGAGGCCAAAUUUGGCCCACAGGACCUAGUUUACUGAGCCUUGAUCAAAAGGAUUGAAAGAACAUUAGAACAAAGAUAUAUGGAGAGAAAUGCAAAUCAUGAUGUUCCUUUUCUGCCAUUGUCAGAUUGUCUUUAUUUCCAUCUGAAAAUUAUUGUCCAUCAUUCUUCUUUGUAUUGUUUGAAUGCACAAAGUCCAACUCCAGAAUCUAGUUCAAACCUUCAUGUUCAACAAGCUAUGUGGCCCUGGGCAGCUUACUUAACCCUAAGCCACGGCUUCCUCAUGUCAUAACAGCAGUUAUCUCAGGGGUUGCUUGUUGUAGGCAUUAAAUUCAAUAAUGCAUGCUAAGCAAUGGUCAUACCUCUCCAGCACAUUGUGAACUCGCAAUAGAUGUUAACUCUUAUUACUACCAGUAUAUUAUUGUAACCACCAACGCUGCUCUUAUCAACAUCAUCAUCACCCCAGGUAAAAAAAUUACAUAGCACCUCCCCUGAAGUUCACCUCUGCAAUUUUCCAUUGACUGAUUCUCUCCCUAGGAGGGGAAGUUAAAAGUCCUUUAAAUAUCCUCCUCACUCUCCUCACUCUCUACUAUCACUCUACCACACCCCAAAUAUAGUCCCACAGAAAAAAAUUCCCCUUACUCCAUAUUCUCAUCCUUCUAGAAAACAAAAUCUCAUAUGCACAGCAUGUGACAGGAUUCUCGUUAUUUGUCUCCAGCACACUCUUCUGCAAGAAUAGCCACAUUCUAAUCUGCAACAAUUACCAACCUUUCACUCCUCUGUCUUCAGAUUUUGUUUUGAUGUUUGUUUGCCAUGCCCAUAGGUCACAAUAGGAAGGAACUACAAAACCUUCAUAAUGAACCUCUGUGAGUUAGAAUGGUACAUUUUUAACUCGUUUAAUCGGGCCACACGAGUGUGGAUGCUACUUUGGGAAGGUCGUUAAGGCAACACGUCAACGAAGAAUGUUGCUUAAAGUACUGAGAAUAGCUGUCAUCACCACUGUGAGCCUCAUUCUCUAAUAUUUAUUGAACAUUUACUGUGUCUCUGGCACUGUGAAGUUCUCUAAUCAUUUCUGUUACAGCAGCCUGUGCUGCGACAGAUGAAGUGUACAAAUAGGAUGCUGAUGAAGACAUGGAAAUUACCACGAUUGCUGUGUGGGCCAAGGAAAACCAUGACUCUGCUCUAAGUCCUGUUGUCUCGUUAUCUCACACACUGGCCGAUUUCUUCUCAAAAGACUUGUGGGCAAGUAGCGGCGGUAAAGUUCAUCAUUUAUCGGCUGGCAAAUCAGCUGAGCAUGACUCGGUUAUCUGAUUCUCUAUUUCAGAGGACUUAUGGGUUAUGUUCUCAGAAGGGCAUGACAAUUCAUCAGGAAGAGGAGUGAGCGAUGGUUCCCAGAAAAUGCCUUGCUUGUCAUCUUGAGGUUUCCAUAUCAAUGGAGCCAAAUGUUAGCCCCUGCGGUCUUAAAUAGCAAGAAGGAUUGUGGCCCUUUGGGGGAAAGAAAUAGGCUCUUUGUAAUUUUUAAAGUGUGUUGAUGUGAAAUCAAAUGAUGAUAGCCCAGAUCAUUUUAACAAUUAGGUAUCUCAGUUGGGAAUGUUUGCAGCAAGUGCAGAGUCUUCGAUGUGCAUUAGCGGACAAAUGCCCAGCUUCCUUGUAAGCUGACCCCAUCAUUCCAAAUGUCUUCUCUACGUUUUGUUUAGUGGUUAGUCAUGUAAGAGCUUUUCCUGCUUCCCAAACCAGUUGGUAUAUGUGGAACAACUCUGUUGAUUAAAUAUUUUACUUAAUUUUUUUGUAGAACCACAAAAUUACUCAAGGCUUUGAAGACCUGACGAUGAGCCUACUGGCCCAGCUAAUUUGUUGAUUUGGUUGUAAAAUUAAGCUCACUAAGGAAUGAACAGAGAUAUCAUCAGACACGGAGUUCUGUCUCUUUUUUCCUCAGGAAGUCAAUCUUAGGCAAAAAUGUGAAGGAGGCAGAGUUUUCCUCUACACACGGCCACCUCCAAGCUCCCAAAAUUAUUGUUCCCUUUUCUCUCCUCCUCAUAGCUUCCUCCCUGCAAGUGCUUGCAUGCUUCCGGAUUCCUGUUAGUUAACACGAAUAAGAUAACGCUCUCUUUCGGUACAAUGUGAUACUUUAUUUUUUAAAAUUAUACUAAUGCUUAACUCAAAGCAAUAAGUAUCUAACAGCAGCAUCUCACACGUUCAUAACAAGACAGUGGUGAUAAAAUUUCUUAGUAGGACCCUCCCAAGGAUCUCUCACCUCAUACCAAUGGGCAGCCACCUCCUCACUUCCUCUCCCGACAUGCACGCAGCCAUUGGUUAUCAGUUCACUCUCCAUUACGUGAUUUGGGGGAUGCAUAAUAAGAGAGAUUAGUGCCUGCAGUAAACAAUGCUUUCUGAAAUCUUCCCCAAAAUUAACAGACAGUAGAAAUGCAACUCACCAUUCCCUGCCAGAAGAUACAGAGGGAUCUGUGAGAGAAUCUGCCCCCACCUCCACACACACAGACUUUAUGAAAGAUUAAUGGAAACAGAGAAUACUGAUGGAUAAAGGCAGCAAAUGAGCAGAAACAUCCUUGUCUUUUACUUCCUUAUCAAGAUCAGUGCCUAAACAAUGGCUAGCCCAUAGUAGUCACUCAAUCAAUAUUUGUUGAAUGACUGAAAAAUUGACUAAUUUAUCAAGUAUUUGGAAGCAGUCUGAAGACACUAUUUUUCAUUCUGGGUGCCUUGUCAGUUAAGGCCUAAAGAAAUUCUUGUUCAAAAAGUUCAAGUAUCAAGAGCUGAUAAUGAUUUCUCCCGUACAUUGCUUCAAGUGCCACAUCCAUCCUUAUUUCCCUAUCUGAAAAAAAAAAAUUUUAAGUAUAACCUUACCCAAGAGAGAUGAAAACUUAUAUCCACACAAAAGUCUGUACCCAAACGUUUAUAGUGGCUUUAUUUGUAUUCACCAAAAACAAGAAACAAUCCAAAUGUCGCUCAUAUGCAGAAGGGGUGAACUAACAGAGGUACUUUAGUACAAUGGAACACUACUCAGCCAUAAAAAGGAGCACAGUCCUAAUUCAGGCAACAACACGGAUGAACUCAAGAGCGUUAGGCUAAGUGAAAGAAAUCAGAGUUAAAAGGCUGCAUAGUAUAUGAUUCCAUUUAUAUGACAUUCCUGCCAAGACAAAAUGAUAGGGCCAGCAUUGCCUCUGGUUGUGGGUGGGAAGAAGGAUUGAUUAGAGAGUGAGAGGAAGAAUGGGUGGGUUGGUGGAUCUGUUUCAUAUCUUGAUUGUCAUGGUGGUUACUCAACUGUAUACAUUUGUGAAAGCUCAUGUAGGAGCAUGCACAAAAAAGGGUGAAUUGUAUUGUAUGUAAAUGAUACCUUCAUUUUUUAAAAAUGAAGGGAAAAGUAUAAUAAUACUCUGCAGCCCAGUAAGGUAGAUAGAUAUUUUACAGAUAUUCAGUUUUUGGUCUUGCUAAAAUGUUGCUAACAUUGUGAAGACUUCUGAAUCUCCUAAUAUUCUAAUACCAUGAUUGUACCUUUUGCCUGGCAAGAGUGUUAUAAGGAUAAAUUAGUUAAUGUAUGCAAAGACCUUUGAAGAUGAAAAGCACCAGGCGAGUUCUAGAGUGCCGAUGUUAAUGCUCAGACUGGACUGAAGGUGAAAGCAUUUUCAAAGCCAGUAGGUGGGCAGGUUUUCUAUCCCGCUGUGUUGAUUUUUCAGCUGGCUCCUACACAGCGAUUACACGGCUUUGCAUCUUUGUACUGAAGCGUGGACCACUUGACAGAAGAAAGCCACUGGGCAAAUGCUAUAAAGACAAUGGUGAGGUGGCAGCGUGGCCAAAUGGACAUUUCAAAGCCGAGAACAAAGGUCUGAACGUAAAUACCUUAGAAGUAAAUAGAGUAAAGCUUAUUACCGAUUAUGGAACAUCUCAACUUAUAGAACAGAAGUGUGCUCCAAAGUGCACUGUGUACGAAGAAUUAUUUUACUAAAUGUUUAUUUUGGAGAAAUAAUCUCUUUAUAAGUAAUCACAUCUGAAAGAAUGUGAUGGUUAAAUUCAGAAUUUUAUACAUUAAAUUUUCUUACAUAAGGUCAAGGUCUUCAUUGGUGAGGUCUGCAGCUAAAGAUGGAUGCACCCGGACUUCAGCAUUCAUCUCUCCUCCUUCAUAAUAACACAGGGAGCACAGCUAACCGCAGUCUGCAGAUCACCUAAUUAUCCCCACACCAUGCUAGUUCUCCCAAAUGGCUGCACUUAUUGUUUUGAUUUUUAUCUCUAUUUCCCCCGCCUCUUCUCUCGUUCAAGUACAAAGCAAUAGCAAAGGCCUGGCCAAAAGCCAAUUAGUCUGAGUGAGGAGGAGGAGGAAGGAGAGGUUUGGUUAAGCAUCCAGUGAGCUAACCUGGCCUUGAGUCAUUAGGAGACUUUCCACGUAAGAGCCCAACAAAUUGACCUUCAGGCAUACCUGCUUAACUGAUAAAGUAAAGUGUAGGACCAGCCCUCAUUUUUUUACCUAAAUGUUGAAUAAAAUCAUUGGAAGAAUGGGCACCUAUAUAAUUCUGAUGAGCAACAUGGUAUAGUGAAAAAUUUUAUGGGACCAAGUAUUAUGAGAUGUGAAUUCUGGUCCCAAUUCUGCCAUGAAAUCGCUGGCGGACAGUGUGCAAGUCACAUGGCCUCUCUGGACCUCAGUUUCUUCAUCUGUGAAAUUAGAGUGUUCCAUGAGAUAAUCUCUAAGAUCCCUUUCGGUUUUAAGGUCCAGAUUCUAUUGGUUCUCCUUUAAGCUAAAAUAGCUCUUUGUGAACCUGGAAAUAACUCCAAGAUUCGUUUCUCUCCUUUCCCCAAUUUUUGGAGCAAGCUAACAUGAAACAGUACCAUUAGUGAUACCGCAAUUAAUAGUUCCUCAUUCUUAUACUGAGUGGGAAUCUCACACUAUAUCCAUCAUUCAAAGACAUGUCUGGGUGCAUGUACAGAAAUAAUGGAAUGGCAAAAUGAAAGUUUAUUUGCAUGAAGUCUGAGGAGACUCUUGCUAAAAGGUUAUUCCAUGGGGCGGAAAGAAUUGUGCAAAGUUGGCCCAAUUAGAAAACCUUAGUUUUAGAGGGGCAAGAGAUUCUGACAGCGUGGUGUCUGAUACUUGACUUUGCCUACCAGCCUAGCCCCCCAAGACUCUCAGUCUACCUACAGAAUGUAACCCCUAAAGUGGAGAGCGGCAUUCUUUAGCUUUGUGUAGUUUAAGCCCCUUGAGAACACAAAUAGAUCUGCAGAGGUGGAGAAAUGUGGUAUUUCCUGGCUGAAGUGAGUGCGUGGAAGCCAUACCUAUGUAGGCAACUGUCAUGGCAGAGGCCAAUGCGGGCAUUGCUCACCCGGAGAGGCGGGGACUCCAGCAGGCAAGAUGGGGAAACAGACUAAAUCUGGAUCAAAGUUACACAUUCCCCAACUCCAAGAGAAGGCACACAGAUGGGGAUUUUUUUGUGAGUCGAUGUAACAUGUCCCUGGGAACUUCUAGCUACAAAAGUAGGGGAGAGGGGUGGGAAGUAGUUAGUCUAGAGGGCUAAAAAUGAAGUGGAAGUGUGACCCAACAAAAUUGAGCUUUAGUUGUGAUUUUUUAAUUCACAGUUUUGCCAUAAUAGUAUUAUUUUCGCAAAGAAAAUCAUAGGAAAGGAGCUAUAAUUAUUAAUCAAAUUCACAGUGUGAGUAUUAGAGGGGGAUAUCUGCAUGUAAGUAAUAACUGAAAGAAAAUCACAGAAUACCUUCUCUACUUCUCAGCUGAGACAGCAGAGAACGAUAGGGAUUCCCUGGUCUCUCCUCAGAACCAGGAGACCCUUCUCAGAUUCGCCUCUGCCUUUCUCCCCAACUCUGAAUUCCCUAAUUUUGCCUCUGUCCAUCUGUACCGAGAUGUUACAAUAUUACCUUGAAAAUGUUUUUCUCAUGUAUAUCAUGCAAAGAACCAUCUUAUUCAAUUAGGCAUUUUGGGUAUUGAGGAUUUUGGAUAAACUUAGUCCCUAACUUCAAAAAUAUUUUAAGUCAUAAUUUAUAUUUUAGGGAAACAUAUCAAGAAGAAAUGUGAUGACUGCAAGAUAUAAUUGCAGACCUACUUAUUAUAAUAAUGGAGUAAAGAUUCCUGGAAGAUCCACUGCAUGUGUUUAGAAGGAACGUUAAAUAGUGAAAUUAGGAUUAUCUUCCAUAUAGUUGAUGUUAUGAUAUAUUUUAUAGCUAUGGCGUCUCUUUCUCUCUCUUCUUCAACCUAGCCAUCCUUUUCCCAUUCCCCAUCUUUCUCUAGGAAAAUCUUUCCAUAAUAUCACCUGACAUUUUGCCGAGGCUCUAGGUCUUAUCCACACUAAAGAUGACUUCCAUAGACUUUUGAGGCGUCUAAGUGGCCCACACUACAUCCGUCAUCUUUCUAUUAAGGUCAACUGGUUGCAGGAUCCCCUGCAUCUGUGCUCAGGAGCUGGAGUAAAAGGGCAGCUCCAACGUUCCCAUUCCUGUUAAACCUUCUGUGAUCCCCCAGCCAGAGAUUACCAAUCCCUUCUCUCUUAUUCAUCCCGUUUCUAUUUUUUCAGUCAAUCUUUUUUUCAACAAUUUCUUUUUUAAGAUUGGCCCUGAGCUAACAUCUGUUGCCAAUCUUCUUUCUUUUUUUGUUCUUCUUCUCCCUGCCAAAGCCCCCCAUUACAUAGUUGUAUAUUCUAGCUGUAGGUUGUUUUAGUUGAGCCAUGUGAGACGCUGCCUCAGCAUGGCUUGAUGAGCGGUGCUAGGUCCAUGCCCAGGAUCCGAACUGGUAAAACCCUGGACCGCUAAAGUGGAGCAUGUAAACUUAGCCACUAUGCUUCCAUAGCACCUUGCUCUGUGCCUUGAACAUGGAAGGUGCUCAGGAGGGGUAAGCUGAAUUAUGCAGCUCUCCAUCAUGCAGAACAAUAUGCCAGAGAAUGACUGUCAUCCUUUACGAAUUUCCACAGCCAUCAGGUUUGAUCAUUGUUGUCCAUGAGGAUGAGCAAAUUCCCUUUGCGGUGAGACUUUAAGACAUGGUUUCUCGGAAUAGGACUUCACAGUGUCAGAGAUUUCCAGAAGGCAAGUCUCUUUGGUCUUUUUGUGAUAUUUCUCAUAAGUACAGUUUAGAAAGAGCUAGAGAAGGGUGAAAUAAUUACUCUUUUCAAAUUAGCUGCUGUUUUAUAACUAUCAGGUAGGUCAGUGGAGCACAUGACUGAAUACCUAUUAGGGAAUGGCAAGUUAGCAUAAGAAAAAGAGCCAUCAGGACAGGAGACAUAGAAGAAGUUUUACUCUAAUGGCUUCUGGAGAUUGGGAGAAUGGCCUGAGGCAAGGAGUAGGGCAGACAUCUGGGUUCCUACAGCACAGUAGACAAUUUCAGAGCCUGAAAUCUCCCUGGAGAACCCACCAAGGCAGUGUUGCCCAAAUUCUGUUCCAAAGAACCCUGGAAUCCCAAAAAUGGGAAUAAGCGCGAAUACAAAAAGAUUCUAUGGACAAACAGGUUUGGGAAGUAUUGCCUCCUACAUCUUCUCUUAGACAUUCUCAACGCAUUUGAAAAACUAAGUGCCAAGACUUGCCCACGUUUACUAAACUUACUUAGCCAUGGAAACCUUUUUCAAGGAAUACCAGUUAGCAUCUUACAGAACACUAGCUCUUAUUGGACUCAUUUUUGCUACUCACAUAUAGCAAAAUGCUGCUGUUUAGUUAUUGCUUCCCUUUAGUCAUCAGUCUUGGUCUAGAAACAUGGAAACAGGCUCCGUGCCUGUUUAAAAUUUGACGAUAGACCAGAGUAGUCUAGAGCAGGGGUUGGUAAACUACAGUCAGCAGGCCAAACGAGGGGCCACUUCAUGUCAUUAUGAAUAAAGUUUUAUUGGAACACAGCCACGCCCAUUCAUUGACAUAUUGUCAAUGUCUACUUUCAGGCUACAAUGGCAGAGUUGAGUAGUUGAGACAGAGAUGGUGUGACCUGCAAUGGCUAAAAUACUUACUCUCUGGCCCUUAACAGAAAAUGUUUGCUUACUCUUGGUUGAGGACAUUUCAUUCCUACCUAAACCAUGUUUCACAAAAAUUUGAAUUUUAAAAAGCAUUAUAUCAACAUCUUCUAUUGUCACUCUCUCUCUCUGUCUCUCUUAACUCCCAACUCUCGUGCAUAUUUAUUUCCUUGGAUGCCUUGCCAUAUUUCCAAUGUGAGACCUAACUCCCAAGAACUGUGGAAAUAAUCCUGCCUCUUACAACCCAUGAAUUCAGCCUGAAUGGAUGAACCAAUUCAUCUUGUCUUCUCUCUUUCCCCAUUUCUACUUUUAUUUCCUUCAUUAUAGUCCCUACUCUUACCUUCUCAGGCUUUUCAGUUCAAAGGAAUAUUCUAAAAGAACUUAGCAAUUCUUACUAGUCCUGACACAAAUAACACCCUUUGCAGUGCCCUCCACAAAUGUGAAAUACGAAAUCCAAAGUAUCUUUCUCCACCUAGAGGGUGGCAGGUCCAUGUCACCACCCAUGCUAGCACUCUUUGCCAGUCUCAGUCAAUCCUCUAUUUAAAUGUGCUAACUGUGGCAGCCUUCUAGCAACAUAAAUAAAAGUUGAAUCCCAACAAAGCUUUUGCAGUGAAAUUCCUUGGGAGCAUCUUUCUGUAGAAGAGAGUCCAGGACUGUUCCUUUAAGGAAACAUACGUACUGUGCACUUUCCUCCUUCCAACAUUCAAAAUUAAGCCCCUCCAAAUGGCUUACACACUGAAGUUUAUAACCUCAGCCUACACAAGUCCGGUGCAAAAAGAUCUACAGCCUGCAGGCAGAGCGAGGAAGCUCUUUAAAGAUGAAUCAUUUUCAUAAAUGAGUGCAGAGGGAGGUCAGGCCAGGGGACAAGGAAGGUUACAUGUGUGCCUGAGAUAAGGCCCCAUCCAUCCUCCUCUUACUGUCAGGUCUUGAUGGGUGAACAUUGCCUUGAGCUCUCAUAAAACAUGUUGUUUGCAGAAAACUUGCAGGUGGUUCAUAAAAAAGUCCAAACUGUUACCAUGAAAUUUAUCUCCCACUGCGGGAUCUGUUUAUAAUAGAAACGAAGGAUCUCAAAUAGAAAUUAAGUAUCUCAGACUGACUUAUAUUGGCUGGGAGGAUUGAAAAAUUCAACCUGCUUCCCAAUCGUUGCACUAAAAACGUCAAAGUAUUUGUAUUGAUGACAUCUUGACAAGAUACAAGUAUGUUCAAAAGAAAAAUAAUGCCCAUUGUGUGCACAGUCCUUUAUCCCUGGGAUAAGAAUAGGUGAGGUGAGAUUUUAUUGGGAGAAUUUAAUCAGACAACUGAACCCUUCAUCACUUUUUAUUUCUGAAGAGUGUCAAGGAUCUGUUAUUUACAAUUUUCCCGUCUGUAUGGUCAAAGUGAAAAGGGCAUCUCAAUUUUUUUAACUUGUUAGGAGAUGUUUAUUAUCUUGAAGCCAAAAAGAGAUUGGAGGCAAUGGUAAUGUUGGUCAUAAUUUGAAUUAUCUCCAUAUAGAAAUUGAAGGGAAAUGUGGAGACAAUUCACGUAGAUAAUUCAGACUCUAAAACCUCUGCUACUUGAAAUAAAGAGAUAAGUGAGGGAGAAGUGCUAAAUUUCAUGUGUGUUUGUUUUCCAGUGUUGAGUUUAUAAUUGGCUCAGUUUAUCACAUCACAUGCUCAUAUACCUGUAUCGUGGUUUUAAGUUGCUGGAAAUGGUGGUGGUCAUAAAUUUCCAUCAAGUUGAUGAACUUAGCACACCUACAUGGCGGAAUAUUGUUCUGAGAACAGUUUACAGAAUCCAAGCAUGUUAUAGCUGGAGGGGAUCUUAGGUUGUAAGCAGCCCAGGAUUUCAACCCCUGGGGAACAGACAUGGAAGGCAAAUGUCUGCAAAAAUAAGGAGGACUCACCUGCUUCCUCUACCUUAACCAUAGCUUUGGUCCGGGUCUUUAUCCCACUGCACACAAACCCAAAUCUGUCCUCCAUUCCUUUACCUGGGCUGGAGGGGUUGGGUCAGAGUAUAAAGUGGGUUGAGAAGCACUAUAUCUAACCCAACACCUUUAUUUGAAAUGUGAGUAUCUUGAGACAUGGCUUUAAGCAACAGCGAGAAACCAGAGAUAUUUCACUUCAGUCUCUUCUCGGUCCUCUUGUCUCUCCUUUUACCUGCCUUCAACCCCGUACUCUGGUCAUCCAAGCCACACUGAAUCACUGUGGCCUCCUCUUAUAAGCACUCCUGUGUUCUCUACCCAAGUCGUAUCUGCUCCUCCUAAUUUCAUGUAAAACUAACAUUUUCUCCAUGCCCUGUUUUCAUCUCUCACUGCUGAAAAAACAUGGCUAAGGUCUUAACAGUUGUAGGACUUAAGGUUUCCCUCUUGGUAGUAAUAGCAAGUUGAAAGGGGAAUAGAUCAUUCUGGUCAAAUGUGUUAUCCCAAAAGAGUGGAUUUACAAUGAUGGCAUUUCAGGCAUUAUGGCAACCAGAAGAAGAGUUGUGUUUGAAAAUAGGGGGCAUCUCAGCACUUAAAAUGACCACCUAAAUAUUUUUUUACGCAUUUUUUUUUGCCAGUUCUUGUCUUAUAUUCCAAUAUUGAAGCUAAGUAGGAGCCUGCUGUUUGAGAUGUUAGGUUAUAGGAAUCUAGCAAGUGUCAUGCCCCCAAAGGUAUUGAAUUGAUAUUCUCCAAAGCAGAUAACUUGGGCAUGAGUAAUAUGCUAGGAGACAGCCUUGUCUACACUGUCGAAUGAUUGAUAUCUGCAAUUUAAAAACCAUGAAAUAGAUAUGACUUCAUCUGCCCUCUAGUCUUCUCUACUGCUUCUAGCAGGAUUCUCUCUAAGAUGACGGAAAGGAGUUACUAUCCCAAUCCUAAAGGCCUCAAUGAAAAGAUUCGUCCUCGAUUUCUCUCUCAUUUCAGUGUUUAGCGUCACUCACUGUCAUAGAAUGCUUUCCAGUCUAAGCCCCUCCCGUGACAAGGCAUGAGAGAGGGCCUACACUCAUUCAUUUCAUGAACAAAUAUAGUUUGAGCUCUUCCAUCAUGCAAAUAGAAUGUUUGGUGCGGCGCAAAGUCAAGCAAGACAAAAAGGACAAAUUAAAAUAUUUUUGUAAGCUGUGGUAUAUAAAAAUAAUAGAACUUGUGGAACAAUUACUUGCAUAACAAAAAGAACUAUGAUAAGGAUUUAACUAAAAAUAACUAAUUUACCUCAACAACAAUAUGGAGUGUUAGUAUGCCCAUUUUACAGGUAAGAAAAUUGAGGCUUACAUUGUUACUUGCCAAGUCUUCCAGCUGGAAAAUGACAGAGCUGGGAGUUUGUUUAGCAAAUGAAAUUUUAAUUUUUCUAAAAUAAUUUUAAUAUUCCCCACUUCCAUGACCUCAAAGCACCCAGGAAUAAACUUUUUCUAAAAGAAAACUAAAUCUACUCUGCAUUUCAACGUGCCAAGCAAGUGUCUCCAUUUGUUAUCAAGCCGUCUUGGUCUUAACUCAACUUCUAAAAUGAUAGUUCUCAAAGGAUGAGGUUUUGAAGGACACUAAUCUGGACUAUAAUACAGCUAUACCAAUCAUCUUGAUGUGUUGCCAAUUGAAGCUUAGUGUUGAAUUGCUAAUAUAGUAAUCUGCAUUGAUCCAAAAGGAAGCCAUCAAAAAAAUCUCAGAAGACCCUGUUCUUCCCGCCUAAUCCAAUUGGUUCAUUUAGAAUUCUUUUGAUAAAAUUGAUUUAAAUGACUCAUUGCCCUAAUUUCUUCAUCCAUUCUCCAAGCUUUUGUCGAACACCUAUGAUUAAGUGCAAAGUAUGUCAGAAAAAAAAUAGAAAGAUGAGCCCAGUGCCAACUUUGUCUUCAAACUGCCUUAUAUUCAAUGAAGGAGGUAAGAUGUAAACCCUAAUAAAAAUAAAAUAAGUUAAAAAUGGCAGAGCCCAUGAGAGCACCCUCAAUUUGGAGGUAAUCAAAUUCGGCUUUGUGGUGAAGAACACUUUGAAUCAGAAUUUGAAGGAGGGAGAAAAAGAAUGCACAUUAUAUUGAAGCCUAGCAAAGCAAAGAGAACAUUUGAUAUAUAAGAAGAACAAAACACUUUUUUAUUUAACAAAAACGUAGACAGUAUAAGAUUUUGUGAUUUUCAUACAAAGGGGUUUGAAUUUUAUUCUCUUAGAGGGAGGAAUUCUUUAAGGGUUUUUGAACAGCGAGGGGGCAGACAUUAAAGUUUUGCUUUGGUACCAUCCAUCUAUCCCAAGCCAGCUCUCAGCACUUCCUGGAACAAAGAAUAUACGCAAUACUUGUUUGAUGACUUGUUGGGUGUGCACCAGAGACUGGGAAGAGAGACUGUGAGAGCAGUCAAAGGAUAUGUUAUUAGAGCCUAAACUAGAAAGCAGACAUACAGAGGGAAAUAGAUGAGAAAGAUUUUAUAGAAAUGCAGUUGACAUAAUUAAACAUCAGAUAUCAGGUGAUGGAGAGAUAUAAGAAAGAACCAAAUCUGAACCCACCAUUACAGGUAGCAUAGUAGUAACAUUAUCCAACAGUACAUGGGGCCGGCCCCAUGGCCAAGCGGUUAAGUUCACACGCUCAGCUCCAGCGGCCCAGGGUUUCGCCGGUUUGGAUCCUGGGCACUGACAUUGCACCAGUCAUCAAGCCAUGCUGAGACGGCAUCCCAUAUAGCACAACCAAAAGGACCUACAGGUAGAAUAUACAACUAUGCACUGGGGGGAUUUGGAGAGAAAAAGAAGGAAAAAAAAAAGAAGAUUGGCAACAGAUGUUAGCUCAGGUGCCAAUCUUUAAAAAAAAAAAAAAUUAUCCAACAGUACAAAAUAUUAGAAAUAUGAUUUCUAGUUACCAAAAGCAUAUCACUUUUGAAAUAUUGGCCUGAACCUUCUUAGCCCACAAUUCGCACAUUCUAUCUGCAAUAAAACAUCUUAUGAUGCAAUGAGACAUAAUGAAGGCAAACAGGACAGUACAUAUGUUCCAAAGGACAUUUGUCAAUCAAUAUUAAAGCUCUAUUGUGAUAAAUGACAAUAAUUUGGGGAAAGGAGAAGGGGAAAACUUGCAAAACGAUUGGCUCAUUAUUCAGAAGAAUCACCUCUCUCUAGCAAGUUGCAAUCAUUCUCUUGGAGAAAACAAAAAAAAAAGUAAAAAAGAGAAAAACACUGAAAGGAGACUGGGUAAAUUAGACUUAAUUCUAGCUUAAGAAUCAUAUAUCCAAGGAGAAACAUGGGAAAUAUAAUUUCAAAUAAAGCUAAUCUAGUCAAGAUGGAAUAAUGGCAACCAGAUUUCCCUCCCACCUGGAACAACCAAAAUAUGGCCAAAAAUAUAUGAAAGAAUGGUCUGUAAGACCAUGGAUAUCAGACAGUGAAGGACAGUGAUCCUUGGAAGAUAAGAAGCAAAGAAAGCGAGACUUCAAAUAGCCCUAGCCUUGAGAGAGUUUACAGGCUACAGUGUGGGGAGGGGUAACUCAGGUGGAGCCUGGCCUGUGCUGUGAGACCAAGGCAUCCUGUUCUAAUUAGGAACAAAGUACCAGGGGAGAGAGAGCAGCUCAGAGAGAGAAGGCCAGAUAUCUGUAGGGAAUCCCCCUCUAGUACUCAACUUAGUACUGAUCAUCGCAUGCGUGUGAGGAAACUAAUCAAGACCAGGAAAAGAAGCAUCUCUAAAAGGAUUUAGAGUACGUGGCACUCUGGGAAUAGUUCUCAGAAGCCGGAUUGGAAAGCCUCAAGAUUCACAGGACUUUUGGGAGAGUACAUAAACGGGUCUUCCCUUAGUAAUGGGGAACAAUUAGCCCUAGCAUGAACCAACUAACAAUUCAUAACAGCAAGACCCAAUAGGAUCAAACUGCUUCUAAGUAACUCAACUGCAUCCCAGAGCAAAGUUCAAGAAUAUUUAUAGGAAUAAAAAAUAUUUAGCACCCAAUAAUGUAAAUUUUACAAUGCCUGGAAUCUAAUCAAAAAGUACUAGGCAAGCAAAGAAAACGGAAAGUAUGAUCCAUAAUGAAGAGAAAAAUCCAUCAAUCAAAACAUACCCAGUGGGCCAGCCCUGUGGCCAAGUGGUGAAGUUCCCGUGCUCCACUUUGGUUGCUCAGGGUUCACUGGGUCGCUUCCUGGGCACAGACCUAUGCACCAGUCAUCAGACCAUGCUGUGGCAGCAUCCCACAUAGAAGAACUGGAAUGACCUACAACUACGAUAUACAACAAUGUACUGGGGCUUUGGGGAGAAAAAAAUAAAAGAGGAAGAUUGGCAACAGAUGUUAGCUUAGGGUCAAUCUUCUUCACCCAAAAAAGCAUUUAAAAAGUCAUACCCAGAACAGACACAGCUAUAUUAGAAUUAGCUGGCAAAGACAUUAAAACAAUUAUUAUAAAUAUAUUCCAUUUGUUCAAAAAGUUAAAUAGAAAAAUGGACUAUAUAAAAAAGACCCAAAUCCAACUUCUAGAGAUGAAAACAUCACUGUGUGAAAUGGAAAAUUCACUGGAUGGGAUUAAUGGCAAAUUAGAUAUAAUAGGAGAAAAAAAUAAUAAACUUGAAGAGAUAGCAAUAGAAACUAUCCAAAACGAAACAGAGAGAAGAGAGUUAAAAAAAAAAAGAACAGUGCAUCACUGAGCUGUGUGAACAUUUCAAACAGCCCAAUACAUGUGCAAUUGGAGUCUCCAGGCAGUGGAGAGGGGAGAAAAUUAUUUGAAGAAAUAAUGGCUAACAUUAUUGAAAAUUUGAUGAAAACUGUAAACCCAUAGAUCCAGGAAGUUCAAUGAACUCCAAGCACUAGAAAUAUGAAGAAAAUUGCACCACAGCACGUUAUAACCUAAUUAUUCAAAACCAGUGAUACACAGAAAAUCCUAAAAGCAAUCGGAAGAAAAAUCUAAAUUCCAUAUCUUAAUAUAUUAAGAAAUAUCAAAGAUGAAGAAACAAAGAUGAGGACGACAGCAGAUUUCUCUUCAGAAACGAUCCAACGAGGAGACAGAAGAAAUACAGACAAUUCCAUAUGAAGACAAUCACGUGGUGUUAAUAACAUUCAUUCAGCCAAAAGAAAGCCUAAAUCUUUAAAAUACAACACAUUGUGUUGGAUGCUACCGAGACUAUAAAAACCUUAGACUCCUCAGUGACAUAGCAAAGGUUUGUAUAUAAAUAAUCUCUAUGCAUUCUUCCAAUUUUAACUUUUAUGAUUUUAUUUUUUUGACUGGUUCACAAACUCGUAUUAAAAGAAGAAUAGUAACCUCUACAAUUUGGCAUGACCUAGGUGCCCAGGAUAUGAAAUAGAAAGUACCAGGUUCCUGAACUUGGAAACAUCUAAAACUGCACCCUAAAUCAUUUUUGGAUCUAGGUGUCUAUAAGUUAAUAACAGCGAAUCAUACAAGGCCAUACGGUAAGUUCUCUAACAGAGGCAUGUUUGAAGACCUACCUAUGCCUGGGGAGACGAAACAAAACAGACGAAGUGACCUCUGAGCUGAGUGUUGAGGUUGAGGAGAUCCUUCCACACUGAAAAGCAUCCUGGCAGGGAUGGAGUGUGGCACGUGCACAGGUGUGCCAAAGAAUGUUCAAAUCCAAAUGUCAAGAGUCCCAGGCAUCUUGGAGAUUGCUGUACAAGGAAGCUUGACUUUCCAACAGGGUCACCUGAUGAAUCAUGAAGGAAUUUCCACAUUAUGUAAAGAGAUGGGUUUCCAAUCUAUAGGUAGUAAGGAACAUGGAGAGGAUUUGCUUUUAGUAUAAAAAGAAUUUGCUUUAUAUAAAAAUAUUAAGGAUGACACAAUAGCUCCCCUCACUCAUGGACCCAAACUUCCUCCUCUUAGGACACGAGUUUAAGGGAGGGAGUCAUCAGUGAAAGAUCGUAUUAGCAUUUUAAACAUAUCACUAAGGUAGAGAUAUGUGUGGGUGAUUGGAAGACAAGAAAUAAAGAAUAUCAUUUGCAAUAUUACAGAAAAGAAGUAAUCCACGAAACUAAUGCAAUGGCAAUGGCGGUAAAAAGAGGAUCCAAAUUCGAGAGAUACUUAAAAUUGUAAAAUUGAGAGAAUCCCUGAUUGCAACAGAAUUAUGAUCUUUUAGGAGAUAUAAGACCUAUCUGAGAUAACUUCUUUCGGGAAGAAAUCAAAAGAGAUUUUUUCAUAUCAGAAAUGUCAUUCAAGAUGGGCUCAAAUGCUGAGAUGGGGGAAAGAAUAUUUUAUUCGGAAGGACUAGCACGAGAAAUUGUACAGAACAAGAAAGGUGCCACAUAAUAUCUCAAAAGCAGCAAUCACCCUAGUGGGACUUAAAGAAAGCGUCCUGACUGGGACGAGAUGAGAAAGAAAUUGGAAAGGUAAAUAGAAGAAAAGCCACGACCGGCUUUGAACAGUCAGCUAAGCUUUAGGAAAUCAUCGGCAGUGUCUGAACAGGAGAUAGGAUGUGUGGUUUAGGACAGAUUGGGAGGGAGGAGUCUAGUUGAUGGUUGAUAAACAACUGAGCUGGCAUAGUAGCAAUUGGAGCAGACAGAUACAAAAGACACCACAAAAGCAACAUGUUGAGGGGGGGAAAUGUGCAAGAUUUCUGGAAAGCCAGAGCGCCUAGGGUGCUAAACUCUUUAGGCCCUUCUCAAAUUUCCUCUUGUUAUCCAUGAACUCUAGACUGGAGUUGGUAAUCUGGGCCUAUUCAUGCCAGCAUGUCCUGUAAAGAUAUAAAGGGAGAUACACAAAUUCACAAGUAGACAUAGGCACAGAUGUAAAGAUACACAGAUAGACUGAUACCAACAUCGACUCAUAGAUCCAGAUACAAUGUAUAAUUGGAAAGAUACCUGUUUGUUAUUCCAGAACUCCAAUGUGUCUCACAAGGAGGGAGAAAAUGUUCCAAACUUUGGCUCCAGACAUUUCUGAAAAAUUAGGUGAUAGGUCAGAGACUGAGUGGGAUGAAUAAGGGUUCUGACUUUUCCAAACCAGUUCUCUCUCUCCACUACAUAGCAUUACCAGUAUAACAGGCUUGCCUGUUGAUUGAACAUAGACACUCCUACUCCUUUCCCAAAUGCCCCGAGUCCAUUUGGGUGCACACAGAAAUCCAGUCUUAAGCUCUCUUCCUAAACACACACCAACAGCAUGGUGAGUGACAUUACAUUGCUGAGUCAGCCACGCUAGGGCCUCUGCCUAAUGUGAAGUUGCAGGUGUUUCAAAACCUCAGGCUCAAGACACUACAGUACCCCUAAGGCUUUUACGAGAGCUGUAAUCCCCAGCUGAACACAAGCAGUGAUGAUCUGAUGGGUUACAAUAGUGGUAAAGGCGGUUCGCGCAUUUCAUAAAUGCUCAUGGCGCUUGAAGUCAUCGGUUCUUUGUUAUGCAAUGACUCUUGAAUUACUAGGUAGCUUAGUUGGGUUUAUUAGUUAAUGCUAUAUGAUAACAUAGUAAUAACAAUUAAUUCUAUCACAUUCAAAAGGAAGUAGCAUGCAGAUCCUACACUGUGAUUUAGAAAGCAGUGGUAAUUACAGCUCUACCCUAUAAUUUCUAUGGUUUCUCUAUCUCUGUAAGCGUGCCACUGGAUGGUUACAAAGGAGAUGCUAUGCAACUUUCAUUGAGAAACCUGGGAGCCGCGGGAAACGCUGAAGGGAUUUACCCAUAAAAAUCUGAACUUUUGCUGGAAACACAAAGUUAAGAUCUAAUCCAUGGCCGUUUUAACUAGAGAGAUGAAAGGAUUUAAAAGGAAGAGGAUUAAUACAACAGACCAUUAUUCCAUAGAGCUCCAGAUUUCCCAGCCUGUCCGUCAUCAUAGCUACAAGCUGUCCAAGUGCAUGUGAAAGCCAUCGAGUAGCUAAUUUGCCAAGAUAGAUUUCAAAGACAUGAGAUGGCUUAUGGUUGUGGUCUGUCUGGCUCCUACCACAGAAAGCAGAGUUCCAAAGCACAUAGCGGAUUUCUUUUGCGGAAGGUUCUCCUCGGUCUUUGGGAUCCAGAAGUGAACCAAAGAAAAUGCCUGCCUUUAUGGAGUUUGUGUUCUAGUACAGGAAACAAAAAAGAGUGUUGGAGGAAACUUUAUUAAGCUAUUGUCUUUCUGAUUCUGUACUCUGCUGUGCAAGGUGGGGCUGCAGCCAUACAGACUCCAUCUCCACAUGACCAGCUUCUCUGCUACGUUCUGCCAACAGAGGGCGCCAGAGGAAGACUGCAGUAGUUGAGAAGGAAGAUGGACAGUGCUCCUUCCCACUUCCUUCCUGUUUCCUGCCAACAGCCCCCAGGAACGGCUCUUCAACCCGGCAGCAACAGUUGAUUCCAGAAGCAGCAAGUGGUUCCAAUUUGCAGCUUUUCCAUAGAGCAAGAACCAGCCUUGCUGUGCCCCUGCACUAGACAACCAGUGCCCCACCUUAGACGUUGGAACUUCAGCUCCUCCUCCAUGCGUCUAAAGUUUGAUAAUCCCAACCUCUUCCUGUUGUUCUCCCUGCCCACAUUAGUCCCCUAGUGCUGCCAUAACAAAGUACCACAGAUGGAGGGCUUAAACACCAGACAUUUAUUUUCUCACGGUUCUGGAGGCUAGAAGUCCAAGAUCAGGGUGUGGACAGGGCUGUUUCUCCAGACGCUGCUCUCCUUGCUAUAUAGAUGGCCACCUUCUCCCUGUAUCCUCACAAGAUCCUCCCUCCGUGUGUCCUAAUCUCCUCUUCUUACAAGGAGACCAGUCAUGUUGGAGUAGAGCCCACCCUAGUGACCUCAUUGUAACUUAGUCAUCUCUGGAGAGGCCCUAUCUCCAAAAACAGCCGCCUUCUGAAGUGCUGGGGGUUGGAACAUCAACAUAUGAAUUUGGGAGGAGACACAAUUCAGCCCAAAACACAGCCUUAGCUGCUUCCUGCAGUUUCCUCUUCUGUGAAACCUCAGUGGCCUUUUUUCUUUAUUUUUUUUUUUGUGACUUUUCAGUUCUCUAACACUUGGUUAAGACUCUUCUACAUUGAAUUCUCUCUGUUAAUUUAACUACGUGGUUUCUGUCUCUUGAAUGGAUCCUGGCUGAUACAGUAUGUCCCAUGGUGAUAGGACUGUGUGGAAAAAUAAUAAAGCAGAGAAAGAGGUGGGAAGUGAUGAGGUGAGGAUGGACAGGAAAGGCUGCACCAGAAGGUGACAUUGGAACAAAAACCCAGAGGAGAGGAAGGACAAGCCAUGAGACUUUCUUGAGGCAAAAGCAUCUUCUGGCAGACGAGGAGGCAUGGUGACAAAGGCACUAAAAUCUUAUUGAACAACGUGUAAUGCUCUUUGAGAUAAGUCACCACCAAGCAAAGAGCUCUUCAAUAAUGCUUGCUCUGAUGGACUGUCUUUCCAUUGAAGCAUAUCAGUAAUUGCCAGUGGGGAGCUGGGAAGUACUAAGCAAUUCUCACAUUGAAAUAAUAACAAUCAAGAAUUUUAGGACUAGUAAGGAUUUUGUAGUUCAUCUCACCCUUUUGCACUGUGUAGACCUAGACCCAGAGAGAUUAAUUCACUUGACCAGAUUCACACAGAUGAUUCACUGCGGCACUUGAACUCUAAUCUCCUGAUUCUUUUUGUUUUUAAGCUUUUUUUUUUUUUUUUUUUGCUGAGGAAGAUUGGCCCUGAGCUAACAUCUGUUGCCAGUUUCCCUCUUAUUUUGUUUUCCUUGAGGAAGAUAAGACCUGAGCUAACACCUGUGCCAGUCUUCCUCUCUUUUGUACGUGGUCACAACCUCAGUAUGGCUGACAGGUGGUAUAGGUCCGUGCUUGGGAUCUGAACCAGCAAACCCAGGCCACCAAAGUAGAACACACCAAACUUAACCACUAUGCCAUGGGGCUGGCUCCUCUAAUCUCCUGAUUCUUACAGUUCAGGAGUCUUUCCAUAGCACUGAUGUGGGCUUUCCACAUCAAUAAUUGCAACAGGUAUUAAGUUGACUGGAACAGUUAAUCAGGGAUUUAUGUCCACCAAGAAUGCCCAGUUCUCAGGUAAGAAUAUAAAAUUUUAUUGCUCCCUCAUAUCUUCAGAGGGCAUGCUAACAAAUCUUUGAUGCGUACGCAUAAAGGCAUGGGGAGUAGUUCAUGGCCUCGGUGAAGAACUAAUGCUGAUACCAAUGUAUAGUCUUUGUUAUGGUUUUUAGCAUAUGGUCCAUAUUGCAGGGGUAGGGCCUUGAAUUCCCCUCCUGGUCUAGAUCUAAGCUCAGUUGCUUCUCCAUUCUCUCCAAAAGUGCCUAAAAGUGGCCCCUGCAGAGGUGGCAUUCUGCCCCUUGGAGUGGCGAGACCUUCCAUGUCACUUCAUUCUCAGUAGGCCACAAGAAUGACUGAGGCAGCAUUGCCAGCUUGUAGAAACCAAAAUCCUGACAACUGACAGAAACUCUGAUGGCAAGGAUGGUAGCGGGAAGAAAGGCCACAGCCUAAGCUGUUCUGUUAGCAGCGUUCAGAUCCUCAUCUUGCAAGGCUUUCGGUAGGAUAUCUAUAUUUUCACGCCAUAAAGACAAAGGCUUUCAUUUUCUUUCUAGAGAUUUUAAUAUUGUUCCUAUGUGUAUUGGCUCUGCUUUGGGCACUAGAGCAUGGUGUAGACAUUGCACAUUAGCUCCUGACCGCUGGCCCAAAGAAGUAAGAUGAUUGCCUUGAGAAAUACAAGCGGUACAUCUAAAUACUUGACACAUACUCCUUGCCUUCCUAAGCUGUAGGUUUCCAUGGUGCAUUUGGCUUAAAUGAAAACCUCAUGUAUAUUUUUCUAUAUUUACUAGGGAUUCUUUUCAUUGCAAAUAUCAUUAGCAUCAUUAGCAACUAUUUAUUGACGUUGACUUACGUACAAGGCACUGGAGCAGCUAACGGUGAUUACAAGACGUAAAAGUCCCAGUUACUACCUCUGAGAUGGUUACAGUAGCCGAGCCUGGCAGAGGCUGAAAAGACUUCAAUGAACUUCCACUUCAUUUCUAAAAUGGGAGACUCUGAGUCCAAGGUGUUUGAUUUACUCAAACUCACCCAAGUGGAGAGGAGUGUGGAUGAAAAGAAAUAAAAAGAUCACAGAGGAAGAGAAACCAUGAGAUUAUUGUCGCAUUGGGAAACUUUAGCAGUAACACAACAUUAUUUCAGUGAAAUGAAUGUAAAAUUGCACUAAAGAUUAUUUCGGUAGAGACAGGUUGUCCUAUGUGUUACAUACGAUAUUAGUUUCAAUUUUUGGCUUUCAUUAUGAAUAUAGUUGAAUAUAAACUCAAUGCCUUUGGCAAGUAGGAUUUAGGUUGGCUAGGGGAGGCCAUGGGGAAAAGUGUCUUUUACUUCAUAAACUCUAUGGUAUCAUGUGACUAUAAUCUCUGGUAAUGUUUUUAUCAUAAAGAUUUCUUAAUUUUAUAGUAAAAUUUUUUAAAGAGGUGAACUGAAGGUGUUAUCAAAAAUGCUCAACUUGCAGAGGGGUCUGUCAUCAGCCUAAGCAUAACCAGUGGAAGAGAAGGGCUGAAAAUCAUGACCAGAUAUAUACCACAUUCCACUAAGACAUUGUUCUUGAAGAACAAACAGAAUAUUAAAGGAGUCCCAGGGUCUAGAAUUCACUGUGCAUUCAGGAAAGUUGCACAGAAGAAAACCCCAGCAGAAAAUAGGGCCCAUGCCAAAAAUGAUGAUGUAAUAACAGAAGAGAACCACUUCCAAGAGAAUUUGAUCGCUUCCGAUUAAACAAUGAUAAGACCUAUAAAAAUGACCUAGAAUUAAUCUACCUAAGUGUUGGCGUCUGUGUGCUUAUAACAUUGAAACCCUGAGUCAGUUGCUAAUAUAUGUAAAUCAACUUCCCUGCGAUUAAUUACCAAUAUUUACCUUUUGUUAUUGGCAUUUUUUAGUUUUUUUUACUGGUUUUACUCAGUAUGUUUUGUUUCAUUUUUGCGGUUGAUUUUGACAAUAUUCUGAUCAUCAAGUGGACAAUUUGGACAAUAAUACAGGAAAGACCAGCUGUGGUGGGCUGGGGCAAUUGGGAAUUCUUCAGGAAGGAACUGAAACUUGAAUGAGAUUCAAUAUUUAGAUAUGCCUUUCUUUCAUUGCCAUUGGAAAGCAGCACUAACGAGAAUUUGGCAUCUUGCUUCCAUCCUCCCCCGAAAAAGCCAUGCUUUUUUUUUUUUAACCCACCUGCCAUUGUAGUUUUAGUCAAAUAGUUAGCUACACUGAUCUAUAAAAUGCAUACCAUUGUUUAUAUUGUUGCUUUUGUUUAUUAUUUUAGACCCCUAAAUAUUGAGUGUUAUAUAGUAAACAUAGUUCCACACACUGGACUUUAUAAGCCACAGAAAAUUUACAUCUUUUGCCUAAAUAUAGUGUCCCAUAGCCAUGGGAAAAUUUCCAGUGCAAAUUGCCAACACCUCACACCGUUCUGUCCAACUCAACUUUCUCUGUGAUCUGACAUCCCUGUAGAACCAACAGACGUCCCCUCAACCCACAAAAAGAGCCAAGAUAGCAAUCAUUCAUGCCUCGUAUCUCAAUAAGCUGAGAUGGAUGUCAAUCACAGCUGGUAGCAGAGAUACAAAUUAAAUAGAUAGAAAAAAGAUUUCCUUUCCACAGCUUGUGAAAUUCCAGGACUGUCGCCGUUCUUUCUGCUCGAUCAGUGGCUCUCCUCAAUUCGGUCCCUCCCCACCAUCUGGUGGAUCUCAUGGCAUCUCAAGAGCCUAUUGGUCACGUGGGACUUUAUCUGCCCACUGUUUCAUUUAGAGUCUUGCCUCACAGUGUGCUCUGUUUCCUAUACCAAGCAUUUCCCAUUACCGUGAUUCUUCUCACUUCUCUCUUUAAGCAUUAUACCAAGUCCCAUUUCCUACUUGCACCUGCAAGGAUGAAGCUGCAGGUGUUUAUCUGUGUUGAAGUCACC